rnacentral:rRNA from 2 species
AGACCCGAAACCCGGUGAUCUAGCCAUGGGCAGGUUGAAGGUUGGGUAACACUAACUGGAGGACCGAACCGACUAAUGUUGAAAAAUUAGCGGAUGACCUGUGGCUGGGGGUGAAAGGCCAAUCAAACCGGGAGAUAGCUGGUUCUCCCCGAAAGCUAUUUAGGUAGCGCCUCGUGAACUCAUCUCCGGGGGUAGAGCACUGUUUCGGCUAGGGGGCCAUCCCGGCUUACCAACCCGAUGCAAACUGCGAAUACCGGAGAAUGUUAUCACGGGAGACACACGGCGGGUGCUAACGUCCGUCGUGAAGAGGGAAACAACCCAGACCGCCAGCUAAGGUCCCAAAGUCAUGGUUAAGUGGGAAACGAUGUGGGAAGGCCCAGACAGCCAGGAUGUUGGCUUAGAAGCAGCCAUCAUUUAAAGAAAGCGUAAUAGCUCACUGGUCGAGUCGGCCUGCGCGGAAGAUGUAACGGGGCUAAACCAUGCACCGAAGCUGCGGCAGCGACACUAUGUGUUGUUGGGUA